rnacentral:rRNA from 1 species
UCCGGUGGCUACGGCGGAGGGGAAACACCUCUUCCCAUUCCGAACAGAGAAGUUAAGCCCUCCAGCGCCGAUGGUACUGCACGGGAGACCGUGUGGGAGAGUAGGUCGCCGCCGGGA